AGCGAACGCUGGCGGCAGGCCUAACACAUGCAAGUCGAACGAACCUUUCGGGGUUAGUGGCGGACGGGUGAGUAACACGUGGGAACGUGCCUUUAGGUUCGGAAUAACUCAGGGAAACUUGUGCUAAUACCGAAUGUGCCCUUCGGGGGAAAGAUUUAUCGCCUUUAGAGCGGCCCGCGUCUGAUUAGCUAGUUGGUUGAGGUAAUGGCUCACCAAGGCGACGAUCAGUAGCUGGUCUGAGAGGAUGAUCAGCCACAUUGGGACUGAGAUACGGCCCAAACUCCUACGGGAGGCAGCAGUGGGGAAUCUUGCGCAAUGGGCGAAAGCCUGACGCAGCCAUGCCGCGCGAAUGAUGAAGGUCUUAGGAUUGUAAAAUUCUUUCACCGGGGACGAUAAUGACGGUACCCGGAGAAGAAGCCCCGGCUAACUUCGUG
rnacentral:rRNA from 1 species